rnacentral:misc_RNA from 1 species
GCCUCGGUGAGACCGCCGGUCUUGUCGAGCUUGAUGUUGAUGGCGUCGUAGCGUUCCCGCAGGCCUUCCAGCGACGCGCGGUCGUGCACGCUUUCAUCGGCGCAGACAGAGACGGGCCGCUUGAUCCUGGCCAGCGCCUGAUCCUGUCCGGCGGGCAGGGGCUGCUCGAUCAUCGUCACCCCGGCAGCGGCGCAGGCCGCGAGAUGCCGUUCCAGGUUACCGUCG